rfam:Pseudomonas chlororaphis subsp. aureofaciens 30-84 chromosome, whole genome shotgun sequence.
GUCGCUGCAAAAUCAGCGGCCGGGCUUGGUAACCCGACGAGUAAACGGCGCGUAAGCGCCCUCCAUAACGAAUGCUGGCGCUUUUUUU